rnacentral:rRNA from 1 species
GUCCACACCGUAAACGUUGGGCGCUAGGUGUGGGACUCAUUCCACGAGUUCCGUGCCGCAGCUAACGCAUUAAGCGCCCCGCCUGGGGGAGUACGGCCGCAAGGCUAAAACUCAAAGGAAUUGACGGGGGCCCGCACAAGCGGCGGAGCAUGCGGAUUAAUUCGAUGCAACGCGAAGAACCUUACCUGGGUUUGACAUAUGCGAGAACUCUCUAGAGAUAGAGAGCUCUUUGGACACUCGCAUACAGGUGGUGCAUGGCUGUCGU